UAAUACGAGGGGUGCUAGCGUUGUCCGGAAUCAUUGGGCGUAAAGGGUCCGUAGGUGUCUUUGCAAGUCGUUUGUUACAUCCACCGGCUUAACCGGUGGCCUGCAAUCGAAACUGCAAGGAUAGAGUUCGAGAGAGGAAAGUGGAAUUCCUGGUGUAGCGGUGACAUGCGUAGAUAUCAGGAGGAACACCAAUGGCGAAGGCAGCUUUCUGGCUCGACACUGACACUGAGGGACGAAAGCGUGGGUAGCAAACAGGAUUAGAUACCCUGGUAGUCCACGCCGUAAACGAUGAGUACUUGAUGUCGGAGGAUUCGACCCCUUCGGUAUCGUAGCUAACGCGUUAAGUACUCCGCCUGGGGACUACGGCCGCAAGGCUG
rnacentral:rRNA from 1 species